UGCCCUUCUAAUAGGGAGCUGGAUUUAGAU
rnacentral:piRNA from 1 species